rnacentral:rRNA from 1 species
UACGUAGGGCGCAAGCGUUGUCCGGAAUUAUUGGGCGUAAAGAGCUCGUAGGCGGUUUGUCGCGUCUGUCGUGAAAGCUUGGGGCUUAACCCCAAGUCUGCGGUGGAUACGGGCAGACUAGAGUGAUGUAGGGGAGACUGGAAUUCCUGGUGUAGCGGUGAAAUGCGCAGAUAUCAGGAGGAACACCGAUGGCGAAGGCAGGUCUCUGGGCAUUAACUGACGCUGAAGAGCGAAAGCAUGGGGAGCGAACAGG